rnacentral:rRNA from 1 species
CGACGCCGCGUGGGGGGAAUGGAAGCGUUUUUCGGAAGUGUAAACCCCUUUUCGACCCGGACGGAAUGACCCGCAAGGGUUUGACGGUACGGGUAUAAGAAGCCCCGGCUAACUACGUGC